rnacentral:tRNA from 1 species
AGCUCAGUCGGUAGAGCGCGUCCUUGGUAAGGACGAGGUCGGCGGUUCAAAUCCGCUCGUGGGCUCCA